AUAGAAAGUAAUACACGGCCCCUGGAGGUGUGGCUUGAAGGCACAUUGGAUGCACCAAGAGGCAAGUUGAACAUGGGAUGCAGCAAGUUAGACAUGGGGUGUAAGUUGAAGCUACUGGAGGUGCCUUUGAGUGGCACGUUCAACGUGAAGCCAAGCAAGUUGAACGUGACGUUCAACACGUUGGACGUGGGGUGCAAGUUGGAUGUGUGGAUUUGUGCGGACACUAGAAGUGCUCCAUAAGUGGCACAUUCAACGUGAGGUGAGGCACGUUGAACGUGGCUAAAGGCUUGGCAUCCAGGGGAGUUUUUGUCUAGUCCAGUAACCUCUCUGUUUGCUCCAUGAACUCUCUGUUUGGUUCAGCAACCCUCUGUUUUGCUUA